AGGUGGAAUGCCAGGAAAGGAAUUCCAGCAGCAGAUCAACCUGGGACCAUCUGUAUAAUCCCUGACACCCGGUGAAGUGAGGAGGAGGAGUCUCACAGGGGUGUUGGCCCGCAUUCCAUGAGGAUCCUGGUUUAACCCUUGUUGCGCCCGAGCCAGGUGGACUGCCAGGGACGGAAUCCCAGCAGCAGAGCAGCCUGGGGCCAUCCGUAUAAUCCAUAAUACCUGGUGAAGGGAGGAGGAGGAGUCUCGCAGGGGUGUUGGCGCACAUUCCAUGAGGAUCCUGGUUUAAACCUUGUUGCGCCAGGUGGAAUGCCAGGAAAGGAAUUCCAGCAGCAGAUCAACCUGGGACCAUCUGUAUAAUCCCUGACACCCGGUGAAGUGAGGA